rnacentral:rRNA from 1 species
AUCGGAGGGGGCGCUCCCAAACCCCAAUGUGAACGUUACCAAUCUGUUGCCUCGGCGGGAUUCUCUUGCCCCGGGCGCGUCGCAGCCCCGGAUCCCAUGGCGCCCGCCGGAGGACCAACUCCAAACUCUUUUUUUCUCUCCGUCGCGGCUCCCGUCGCGGCUCUGUUUUAUUUUUGCUCUGAGCCUUUCUCGGCGACCCUAGCGGGCGUCUCGAAAAUGAAUCAAAACUUUCAACAACGGAUCUCUUGGUUCUGGCAUCGAUGAAGAACGCAGCGAAAUGCGAUAAGUAAUGUGAAUUGCAGAAUUCAGUGAAUCAUCGAAUCUUUGAACGCACAUUGCGCCCGCCAGUAUUCUGGCGGGCAUGCCUGUCCGAGCGUCAUUUCAACCCUCGAACCCCUCCGGGGGGUCGGCGUUUGGGGAUCGGCCCCUCACCGGGCCGCCCACGAAAUACAGUGGCGGUCUCGCCGCAGCCUCUCCUGCGCAGUAGUUUGCACACUCGCACCGGGAGCGCGGCGCGGCCACAGCCGUAAAACACCCCAAACUUCUGAAAUGUUGACCUGGGAGCAGGUAGGAAUACCCGCUGAACUUAAGCAUAUCGUAAACCCGGAAGAAA